UAGCUCAGUUGGUAGAGUGCUUGCCUCACAUGCACAAAGACCUGGGUUCAAUCCCCAG
rnacentral:tRNA from 1 species